rnacentral:rRNA from 1 species
UUGACCUCGGAUCAGGUAGGAAUACCCGCUGAACUUAAGCAUAUCAAUAAGCGGAGGAAAAGAAACCAACAGGGAUUGCCCUAGUAACGGCGAGUGAAGCGGCAACAGCUCAAAUUUGAAAUCUGGCUCUCGGGCCCGAGUUGUAAUUUGUAGAGGAUACUUUUGAUGCGGUGCCUUCCGAGUUCCCUGGAACGGGACGCCAUAGAGGGUGAGAGCCCCGUCUGGUUGGAUGCCAAAUCUCUGUAAAGUUCCUUCGACGAGUCGAGUAGUUUGGGAAUGCUGCUCUAAAUGGGAGGUAUAUGUCUUCUAAAGCUAAAUACCGGCCAGAGACCGAUAGCGCACAAGUAGAGUGAUCGAAAGAUGAAAAGCACUUUGAAAAGAGAGUUAAAAAGUACGUGAAAUUGUUGAAAGGGAAGCGUUUAUGACCAGACUUGGGCUUGGUUAAUCAUCUGGGGUUCUCCCCAGUGCACUUUUCCAGUCCAGGCCAGCAUCAGUUUUCCCCGGGGGAUAAAGACUUCGGGAAUGUGGCUCUCUUCGGGGAGUGUUAUAGCCCGUUGUGUAAUACCCUGGGGGGGACUGAGG